ACAGAUUUUAAUCAAACAUAAAAUCGAUACUUAUCUCUUAAAGCGUGACUGCGAUCGCUAGAAGCCUCCAAGCAAGAACGAAACUAUCCACGAGAUCAUUCCAGUUCUACAGUCUUCUACAAUGUGGCCCGAAUAAUGCCUGGAAUUAGCGAAAUUCGUGUGGGCGAAUUUCUCCCUUGAGCCGCCUGUGAUAUAAGCUUAUCAACAUCACGUUCGCCGCCUCUAGCGUUUUGCAAGAGUAUAAGCUAAUAGGCCGAGUUUCACCGAUUAUUCGCAAAUUAAAGUCUUCAAUUCUCAAAUCAAUAAACUUUUUUCAAUAUUCAAAAGGCGAAUUUGUACAACACAGUAUCGUUCCGACAGCUAAAGUGAAAUUUCAUCAACGAAAUCCGGACCGGGAACCUCGUCGUUCGACUCAAAGUGCAAUAACUUGUCAACUUUUGGUAUAAAUCAACCAAAUCGGAACUUCUAACGGCUAAACAAACUCGGCGGCUCUUGACUGGAGCUCUCAUCGGUGAACCCAUACGAAAACAGCAACCUCGACCUCCACUUUGAUGUCACCGUUUACAUCGAAAACAGGGUUGUUCUGGGGUGUUCUUAGCUGGGAUUUGGUGGUCUAAGGUUGGAUUUGAGGGCUGUUUUGUUGUCUUUUUGGGGCUGAAAUUUCCAGCUAGUUUGGAUGGUGUUUUAAAACGGCAGCUCGUAGAAGACGAUGGGCAUGGUUGAAACUUUUUGGAAUGGAGACCGUUCUUCUUCUGCUGAAGAAGCAAAAGAUCUGAAGGCUACCUCUUUUGUUGUCUCUUAGCUUUAGGUCUCUCGGGCGUUUGUGUUGUUCUCUUAGAGAGAAACGACUGAUUGGUAUUUUCUGAUGUAGGGAGAAAAAAUAACUUAAUUUUCUCAAAGAGAUUCUUAGAUAGUAGAGCUUCGUGCUGAUAACGUGUUAUAAAAUAAUACAAGAACAAGAACAAUAUUGU
rnacentral:lncRNA from 1 species